GAAUUGUAUCAUACAAGUUAAUCUUAAAAUUUAAGUAAUCUCAAAAAGUAAUCCUUAACUAACAAGGAUUUUAAAUAAAGACUCCUAUAAAAAUCUGGGUCUUUCCUUAAAUAAAUGACCAACCACUUGUAUUCUAAAUACACAUAAGUAAAAAUAUAAAAGAACUAGAAAGUAUAAUUUCCCCAAUAAACUCUUUGGUAAAAUAAACUGUCAUCAACUUGCAAGUUCCAAUCCAAACAUUCCCAAGGGCAAGCCUGAGCUAUUGGUUGGAAACACAGCCUAAUUCAUGCAACUACUAUAAUGAGGAAUAUCCAGCUGACUACAGAGACAAGAAAAAUGGUGACAUGGCAACAUUUUACUCAUAGUAACCAAUGAAUAGAUUUUCAACCUAAGAUUACACAAUUUGUUCAAAUUCAUCAGAAAAAUUCUCACCAAUUUUUAAUUUUUAAAUUUAGGAAUACUUCAUAUGAUCGGAAGAUGAAAUAUAACCUAGUUAACUUUAUUUACCCAAAAAUCCAAAUUUGACUCACCAAAUUAACUAAUAAAGUUAUCUAGAAGAUUUGCUAUAAAUAUAAACUUAGAUAAGCUCGUAAUUGUUUCUAAUAUGAAGAAAAGUUCAGCAUCACCUCAUAGGGUUAUCUCCUAUUGAACAAUUGAAGCAUGUAUCCUCAAGAUAUAAUGACAUAGGGAUCAAAUCCCAUGUAUGGAUUUGCUGAAUUCAUUAGCACAUGGUACAUAAUACAUGUUAAAUUUAUAAGAACAUGUAAUCUUUUCAAGAGUUGAACUUUUUAAUUUUUCAAUUCAUGCUUAACUAUAUAUGAGAUCUACAGUUCAAGAAUAGCAUUUAUUAACUAUGAUUGCUCCUACCCUGUUAUAGUUCUUUUACAGUCUGGCAAAAUGAAGUCAUAAUCCACCCCUUAAGGCUUAAGAUAAUAAAUUCAUAUCCAAUCAUUAGGUUUCAAAUUUUUGCAGAUUCUCUCGUAAACCAAACAUCAAGCACCUUUAAUAUAAACAGUUCCAAAAAACUGUUCAAAAAAUGAAUAGGCAUGCCUUAACAGCGACCGAACAGAGAAGAUAAAUUGACUUGUAAUGCUAAUAUGAAAAGUGAUAAAAGCGAAACAGGGAACGCAUAAUAACCUUUUCGGUGCAGGGAACAAGACCUCGUAGGGAAGCCAGAUGAGCAUUGAUCCUCUCUCUCCUUCUCCUCUCUGCCUCACUAUGGCUCUUCAGAGCUGCCAGAGCCUUGGCCUCAGACAUCCCUUUCUUCCCGACUCUCGUAGCCGGUGCUUUUACGAGUUCUCCCUUCUCAUUAUCCAACACCAAAGCCUGCGAGACCAUCGACCCAUCUUGUAGAACCCCAUUAAAACCUUCUAAACUACGCGAAAAUGGAUCCAACGAGCUAAAAUAACCGUACCCAGAUGAUGAAGAGUUAGACUUAUAAUAGUAGGCAGCCAUUGCAAGAAGAAUUAUAAGAAGAAGAGAGGCUGUAUAUGUUAUCUUGUCAGUUUUAUGAGCCGAAAGUGGAGCAGCGUUAGCCUGGUGGACGAGUAGUGGGAGCGAACCAGAAGGAAAGCUUUUGAAGAGGAAAAUUUUGUUGUUUAACAGCCUUGUUAGUGAUUCUUGAGGCUAUGAACAUGCCUUCCAUACCGCAAAAAGGACAAAUUUUGGGUUCAAGGGACAUGGAGAUAAGUUAGUGAGAAAACAUCCACAUUUUCUUCUUGAUAGUCUUGGAGAGCAUUCUUUCUUUGGUAAGUGUGAGAUUCUUUGGAGAGUGGAGAUCUAGUUUAUGCUUUAAAGAAAUGAAAAAGAGUAGUAGUUUUCAAAACUUUGAAUCUUUCUGCUGGAAUUUCGAUGAAUCUUAGAGAAGAAAGGGACAAAGACUCAAAGAAAAUUGGAUUCACAAGGAAAGAAAAUUAGUUUGUUUGGGAGCAGAGAAACGUUUAAAGCGGAAAGAC
rnacentral:misc_RNA from 1 species